AGCAUUUUUCAGCACCAAGUGAUCUUGUGUGAUCCGGGCUGUCAUUUUCACAGCAGCCCUUCUAAUGUCAGAAAGAGGGACAGGCUUCAUCAGGAUGGUGGAGGAACACCAGUGGUAGCCUCGUCUCAAGUCUUGAGCUGUGCUUCUUGGUAACGAUUGCUGAAUUCCCUUCUUCUGGUGGUCCUUCUUGGGUGAAGCACUGCAUCGAAGCUGCUGUCUGCUGGGAGCAAGGAGAUGCUGCUCCAAGAGAGAUGGCAGUGCAAAUGUAUGUUGUGAACUUGUUCCAAGUCGUACAGAUGUGAACAUUUCUCCAUGAAACCAGAGCUGGAUGCUGAAAUGUCCUGGGCAGACUGUGCAGUAACAUAACCUGUAACAUACAUACUAGCCUCUCGGGGCAGACCACCAAGACUACCAGUACCUUCUUUUCAAAAGCAUCUAAGACUACUGUGCUUCAAAUGAACAAAGUAGAGAACCGGACCACCGCCCCAUCCCCCAAGAAAAGAUCACCCUGAAGCCUUGGUAAGAGGGCUGGCAGGCACACAUUUUUCCAUCCCUCCUUUUCCUCUCCGGUGAUGAUUAAGAGUAUCAGCUGAUACUUACUGUGAGCAAAAGUUUAAACAUUCCUCUUGCAGGUAGUGGAGACAUGAGUUGUUCUGGAGACCUACCGAAAUUGGCUGUCAACUUCCUGCACAGUCAGGCUUUGGAUCAAGGAAAUGGAUUGUUAGUUGAGCAUACUCCAGAGCUGCCUCCAAAGGGUCCCAAAAAUAAGAGCUCUCUAGAAGCUGGAGGAGUCUGAAAGCAUUUACAGGACCAAACUAUCUUGAAAGAGGUGAAGAGGAAAAGCUUGAAUGCUGGUAGAGUUUGAGCUCCAAUGCAUAGAAGUAUUGCUACCAGGAAGAAAGAAGGCAACAGCUUCACAACUAGCAGCAGGAGUCAGGUCUGCUUUCUAACAUGUCCUUCUGGGAGCUCUCCAGGGCCUAGAGAGAGCUCAUUUCAUCAGCCUUUGCCAUAACAGGGGCACUAACAGAGAUUUUCUGCUCUCUUUGGUCACUAUUUUUCUUGCUAUUCAUAUGAACUUGGUAUCUUGGAGGCCGGUCCUUCAAAUUCCAGUUGAAGAUAUGCAACAGUUUCCAACAACUCCCAGAGGCAACUGUACACAUGGUGUGACCGCACAUGGAAAAAGAUCCUGGUGUGUUGAGAGGAAUGGCUACAGAGCCCUUCUGUGGCAGGUGCUGCUUUCAUAGAUCUGAUCAUCAGGAAGAAUCAUCUCUGAUGUGAAAGCGAUGACUGCCCUGUGAUGCACUGUGCAGCUGUCAGUGAUGUUUCACUUUGAGGCAGUCAGCAACUCAUGUCAAAGGUCUUGUUUGCACUUGAUGCUGCCUCAGAAAGCCUGAGUCACUCUUCACCCUCAUUCACCCUGGUUACAUACGUUUACUCUGUGGUUGUAUGGUGGUUGGGAAAGUCCUCAAGUACAAGGGAAGACAAAUCUGUCUUCUUCCUGAAAACUUAGUCCUACUGCUUUUAUAAUGAGAAAGCUGGUUGGCAUGUCAUUCCCAACAUCAGGGCUUGAAACACAAUGUAGUUUUACUGUCUGCCUCUGCUCAGGAAUCUGAGCUCCAAAACGUGAAAUACAAAUUACAUUUAUGUCAAAACAAAAUAGCAGGGAGUACACUCUCAGUUCCUGCUCUGGACCUAGGUCUCCAUCAGUAUGAAAGAAUGGAAUGAACAACCUUCUUUCCUAUUUUUCACUCUGAAGGGCGUUUGGGUAUUCAGCCAAAGUUUGCUGCUUGCUUCUGUUUGUGUACAUGGAUGUCUAUGAAACUUGAAUCCCUCAGUAUUUGCAUGAGUUACGAGCAUGUGCCCAGCUAAUUGCUGGCAUCAGCUGCAGUGUGUUUAAAGUCAUUCUCUGGUGGUCUGGUCAUGAAAUUGUACUUAUCCAUAGGAGCCUCAGUGCCACCAUUUUGUAUUGGCUUCAAGUUAUCUUCAACUACAGCCACCACCACCAGUAGUUCUGAAAGUUUAAAAUCAGUCAGUUGUUUGGAUACUCAUUAAGUCCUACAUUCUUAAAAAGCGAAACCUCUACAAAAGCAUCUCUGACAGCUGCAUAACAAAAAUAUAACUACUAAUAUAGCCAGCAUUGUUAGUUGAGCAUAGUCCAGAGCUGCCUCCAAAGGGUCCCAAAAAUAAGAGCUCUCUAGAAGCUGGAGGAGUCUGAAAGCAUUUACAGGACUGAACUGUCUUGAAAGAGGUGAAGAGGAAAAGCUUGAAUGCUGGUAGAGUUUGAGCUCCAAUGCACAGAAGUAUUGCUACCAGGAAGAAAGAAGGCAACAGCUUCACAACUAGCAGCAGGAGUCAGCCAGAGGUGUACCCAGGUGGCCAAGAAGGCCAGUGGCAUCCUGGCUUGUAUCAGAAACAGUGCUGCCAGCAGGAACAGGGAAGUAAUUGUCCCCCUGUACUCAGCACUGGUGAGGCCGCACCUCGAGUACUGUGUCCAGUUUUGGGCCCCUCACUGUAAGAAAGACAUCGAGGCCCUGGAGCGUGUCCAGAGGAGGGCAACAAAGCUGGUGAGGGGUCUGGAGCACAGCCUUAUGAGGAAUGGUUGAAGGAGCUGGGAUUGUUCAGUCUGGAGAAGAGGAGGCUCAGGGGAGACCUU
rnacentral:lncRNA from 1 species